rnacentral:ncRNA from 17 species
AAUAGAGUUAGAGGUUGCAUUAUUAAUGACUAACUUAUCAGAAGUCGUAUGGGACAUGUGUUGAAUAAGUGAAAGGUAAUAAUGCCGAAAUGAUGUUAUUUCCAUAAAUUAGCAUUGUUGGGACAACUUUCGAAUAGAAGUUGUACUGUCACUUUAUGUGAUGUGCUACCUUAUAU